rnacentral:tRNA from 1 species
GCCCUCUUAGCUCAGUUGGUAGAGCAACUGACUCUUAAUCAGUGGGUCCAGGGUUCGAAUCCCUGAGGGUGUA